rnacentral:rRNA from 1 species
UACGUAGGGUGCAAGCGUUGUCCGGAAUUAUUGGGCGUAAAGAGCUCGUAGGCGGUCUGUCGCGUCUGCUGUGAAAACUCAGGGCUUAACCCUGAGCUUGCAGUGGGUACGGGCAGACUAGAGUGCGGUAGGGGAGACUGGAAUUCCUGGUGUAGCGGUGAAAUGCGCAGAUAUCAGGAGGAAUACCUAUGGCGAAAGCAGGCUACUGGACCGUCACUGACUCUGAUCUGCGAAAGCUAGGGGAGCAAACAGG